rnacentral:rRNA from 1 species
UUCUUCGGAUGAAGAGGAUUGUGACUGAGCGGCGGACGGGUGAGUAACGCGUGGGUAACCUGCCUCAUACAGGGGGAUAACAGUUAGAAAUGACUGCUAAUACCGCAUAAGACCACAGCACCGCAUGGUGCGGGGGUAAAAACUCCGGUGGUAUGAGAUGGACCCGCGUCUGAUUAGCUAGUUGGUAAGGUAACGGCUUACCAAGGCGACGAUCAGUAGCCGACCUGAGAGGGUGACCGGCCACAUUGGGACUGAGACACGGCCCAAACUCCUACGGGAGGCAGCAGUGGGGAAUAUUGCACAAUGGGGGAAACCCUGAUGCAGCGACGCCGCGUGAGCGAAGAAGUAUUUCGGUAUGUAAAGCUCUAUCAGCAGGGAAGAAAAUGACGGUAGCUGACUAAGAAGCACCGGCUAAAUACGUGCCAGCAGCCGCGGUAAUACGUAUGGUGCAAGCGUUAUCCGGAUUUACUGGGUGUAAAGGGAGCGUAGACGGAUGGGCAAGUCUGAUGUGAAAACCCGGGGCUCAACCCCGGGACUGCAUUGGAAACUGUUCAU